rnacentral:tRNA from 1 species
AUGGAAUUUGUUCCUUUAGUAAGGGAGUCUAGCUGAUAAUUAGAUUUUAGAGGGUUAAAAUCCUUCCAAAUUUUAUG